AUGAACGCUAGCGACAGGCCUAACACGAUGCAAGUCAGGGGCAGCACAAGGAGCAAUCUGAGGUGGCGACCGGCGCACGGGUGAGUAACACGUAUGCAACCUGCCUGUAAGCGGGAAUAACCCGUGAAAGACGGACUAAUACCGCAUAAUACUAAAUUACUGCAUGGUAAUUUAUUUAAACAUUUAUGGCUUACAGAUGGGCAUGCGCAUGAUUAGCUAGUUGGAGAGGUAACGGCUCCCCAAGGCAACGAUCAUUAGGGGUUCUGAGAGGAAGGUCCCCCACACUGGUACUGAGACACGGACCAGACUCCUACGGGAGGCAGCAGUGAGGAAUAUUGGUCAAUGGACGAGAGUCUGAACCAGCCAAGUCGCGUGCAGGAAGAAUGUCCCUAUGGAUUGUAAACUGCUUUUGCAGGGGAAUAAAGUGCAUCACGUGUGAUGUUUUUGUAUGUACUCUGCGAAUAAGGAUCGGCUAACUCCGUGCCAGCAGCCGC
rnacentral:rRNA from 1 species